UACGUAGGGGGCACGCGUUGUCCGGAAUCAUUGGGCGUAAAGAGCGUGUAGGCGGCUCGGUAAGUCCGCUGUGAAAGUCCAGAACUCAACCCUGGAAUGCCGGUGGAAACUGUCGAGCUAGAGUCCGGAAGGGGCGAGUGGAAUUCCUGGUGUAGCGGUGAAAUGCGCAGAUAUCAGGAGGAACACCAAUGGCGAAGGCAGCUCGCUGGGACGUGACUGACGCUGAGACGCGAAAGCGUGGGGAGCAAACAGG
rnacentral:rRNA from 1 species